rnacentral:rRNA from 1 species
UACGGGGGGGGCAAGCGUUGUUCGGAAUUACUGGGCGUAAAGGGUUUGUAGGUGGCUUGCUAAGUCAGACGUGAAAUCCCUCAGCUUAACUGGGGAACUGCGUCUGAGACUGGCAAGCUUGAGUGCAGGAGAGGAACGCGGAAUUCCAGGUGUAGCGAUGAAAUUCGUAGAUAUUGGGAAGAACACCGGUGGCGAAGGCGGCGCUCUGGACCGAGACUGACGCUGAGGCGCGAAAGCGUGGGGAGCAAACAGG